GCAGAGACGGGACUUCCGGUGGCUGGUGUAACGUAAAGAUGGACACAAUGUUACGAAAAUGAUUUCUACUAUUACUUCUACUAUAAAUACCGAAAAUCCAUUAUUAUUAUUAUUAUUAUUAUUAUUAUUAUUAUUAUUAUUAUUAUUAUUAUUAUUAUUAUUAUUAUUAUUAUUAUUAUACUGACUAGACAUUAGACUUUUUAAAGUCAAACAUUAAUACAUAACAUUUCCCUUUAGCGCACCUGAACGUUAACUUGGCCUUUACUCUGAAUAUGCCGAAACCCCUCCAUCUGUAAUGUAGCUAAUGCGGCUAAUGAGAAAUUGAACAAAGAACGGAAAUGCUGUGGAGUGGGAUUAGGUGUCACUUUGUCCCUGUCGUUGGCUGCCGAACUGUGAAUGGUUCAUUGUUUAUUUCUAGGAUUUGGCAAAAGAAAGACUAAGUGAGGAGCUGGUUCCACUGUAGUUGUGACGCCACGUCACAGUCCCACAUCUAUAUAUGGAAAUGUGUCGGAUGUGGAGGUUUGUGUGGAGGCUUUGUUGUCUGUUCGACAGGUCUCAUGGUACUUUAACAACAUGUCUGGGCAUUUCCACACAUGUCUGCAGCUGUAACAUGCACUAUAAGCUGUCUGUUAUUAAAGCCUCUUCUCUGUUGCAUUGUUGACUUAGAGGACUCGCAGAAUAGAAGAGAGUUGACUGUGACCACAUGCCCAUUUUACCAGCAGCCCUAUUAGUGCUGUACCCUUCAUUGCAGUAAAGUGAACAAUAACCCUCUGACAACUAGAGGCAAUUACCAGCUUUGUUCUGGUAAUUCUUGUUUUCAGUUGGAUGCUGUCUGUUGGAGCUUAUUGUCAGGGUUCAGACACUGCUUAGUCUUUUCCAUGUCCACUGAGCCUCUGCUCGCUGUUCUGUGAUCUUCAUAAUAGUGGGUUCCACGAAGAAGAGCUCCACACCCACCUUUUUCACCAGUGUUUUGGUGGAUCACAUCGGGUUUCAUGGUCAGAUGGUAAAGUAAUAUUACUAACACACUGAAGUUGUGUGGUAGCUGAUAAUAAUUAUGAUUUGACACUGCUGUUUAUUUAUGUUUAUUAUCUAUCCAUCGAUCCAUCCAUGCAUCCAUCUAUCAAUCCAUUCAUCCAUCCAUUCAUCCAUCUAUCUACCCAUUCAUCCAUCCAUUCAUCAUGUCUACAUGCAUAGAUUCUCCUUUUCUGUCCUCUUGUACUUGUUGUGUUCCAUACUGUUAUGACUGCUCAUGUUUUAUACUGUUUUCUGGCUUGAAUUAAAGUUAACAAUGACGUGAUAAUACAAGAUAUGCAUUUUACUGUGCAUUAAUAUAAAACAGUGUCCUACUAAAACUGUGAAUUUGCAAAACUGUAGGCAGUACUGAAGGUAAGACCAAAACCAUGCAUGUUCCUUUUUCUGCACAUUCUUGGUUGACCUAAUUCAUUCCCAGGCUCCACAGAGUCAGCCAGAGUUUUUGUUCCCAAGCUCUGGUUGAACGCACACAUACAGGGAAGUUAGAAGAGAAAAAUUUAAUACUACAAUUUGGUGCACAAAGGUUCUCUUCUGAAAUAAAAUACUUCUUUAUCUUCGAUAAAACAAUCAAGCUUUAAAAAUAAGAACAUGCUGUAAUGCUUGUGUUGUUUUUUUGUCGUUCUGUGAGUUGCAGCCCUGGUGGAAGAAUGAGCUUCUUUGAGACAUACAGUAAUGUGUUUUGUUGGUGCAAAGGUGUUAUUAAUGUAGCAUUGCUUGUAAGCAAUGGAACAAACUGUCAUGCACAUACAGAUGAAGGGUUUUCCACUGUGCUUUAUACAGGAGGUCAUGAGUCCAAGUGCAUUUUAGCAAAAUAAGUUCAAUUGGAUUUAUGAAUUAUGAAAACAAGCAGAAGCUGACAUACUUCUGUAAUGUUAGUAUAUCACUAAUCAUUUGUAUUCAAACUAUAUCUAAUAUAUUUUGGUUUUGUUUUAAAAUUUCACUGCAUUACUAUUACUAUUAUUACUGCAUUAAGCCUACUGGUUUGUCAUGUAAUUCUUCAUACUAGCCGCUAGAGGGAAGCAGUAUGUCAUUUAUUAUAUUAAUAGCCAUGCAGUGGGUUGCUUGCACUAGUGAGACGAACUAAAGUGGGAAUACAUUUAGAAGGAGUGAUGUCAUCACUAACAUGUACGAUAUCUUAUAAUAUGUAAAGCACAACAUCACAGCUAGAAGCAGGUGGGUGAUGCAGGAGCCUCUGUGCAUGUUGUCUCUGUGCAUGUGUGGGUUCUCUCUGGCUUUGAGAAGCAAAAUGCACCUCAAAAUGGCUAAAGGAUCCUCACACAUACACAGGCUGUACAAUGUUGUUGUCCUUCUGGCCUCUAGGCUUCACCAGUGAUCUGUGUUUACACACCAAUCGCACAGAGAUGUUUUUCUCCAGUCAGGCAGGUGCCCCCUCGCUAAGUCUUCCAGGCUGUUGGCGGCCAAUGACUAUGAGCUGAGGCGUAACACAGACGUGGGUAAACACAGGAAUCUCAUGCAGACGCACAGAGGAGUGUGAGAAAGAUGAGCCGGUUCACGUGUCGUGCCGAAGGUCAAAGCGACCGAUUGUUAGCGGUGAGAAGGAAAGUUUGCAGUGCACCACCAACAACAGGGCAGAGAGGAUGUGGAGUCAUUAGUCUCAAGCUUUUGCCUUCUGCUGAUGAAAGAUGGAGGGAGGGUGCGAGGUGACGGGGGGGUCAUGACGGAGGGAGAAAGGCUGCUGACGCCUCAUUUGAGCUUUUUAAACCCCUUUAGAAGAUAAAGUACCAAGACAAAAAAAUGAGUCUGCAAAACUGUUACUGUGAUUGUUUAUUGCUAAGUUCGAUAUGACAGAGGAAUCAUUUUUCUUCAAAUGGAAUCUGAUUUUUAAUCAUUAUAGAAUGUGUUAAUUAAACAUUGAAAUGCUUCAUGUUUAAAUUCCUUCAUAACCUUUUGUUGUGUUGCUGUUAUAGAUGUAACCUGUAUUUCAAAACGGUUCCUUUGUGUUGAUUCUUUUCUCAGGAACAACACAAUGUUACGCUGUAGGUCAACAUAACCGCUCAGCAAUGUGGAAACAACACCACCUGCGAUUCAGUCUAAUGAAGUCAAUGGUUGGCUCCAAGGGGAUUCUGGUGCACAGGUCAUGCUUGUGUUUACCUUUCUUUCACCUCGCUAAGCUGCCUUUUGGGGUCUAAUGCUGUCAGUUUAUUCUAAAUCCUACCUCAGAUUUGGGUUUCCUGCAACACCUUUUCCUGAUGGGGUACAGAACAUAACCUGCUUACGCAAAUAUGCUGGGGGGAGAACACACAAGGAGCCAAAGACUCGUGACCUUUCCGGGGUGUGACCUUCCUCUCGACCAGUGACAGCUGAACUCUAACACCAGCAUGACCCUAACAAGAACAAACACUUAGGAUGCUGGAUGGACGAUAAUAGAUGAAUCCAGAUGUUUGUUAUUAGAGACUACCUCCGUUUCCUAUCCAGACCUUUGUAUCGUCUACUUAGUGCUAUUUAUUCUCACAUUGCAAAGAAUCAGUUUAUGUAAUAACAGCUUUAUGUACAAUGUAUAAUUGGUUGUUAGGUGAAAGAUUUUCCACCACCUCUGUUCAUGUCCAUCUUCUGAAUUGCUGCCGUAUCACUGGUUGAUUGCCACUGAUGCAGGUCAGACCAGUCCUGUGAGGCCAGGGGAUGUGCUCAAAUAAAUACAGACAUUCUGGACCAACAAAAA